AGCGAACGCUGGCGGCAGGCCUAACACAUGCAAGUCGAACGGAUCCUUCGGGAUUAGUGGCGGACGGGUGAGUAACACGUGGGAACGUGCCCUUUGGUUCGGAACAACUCAGGGAAACUGGAGCUAAUACCGGAUGUGCCCUUCGGGGGAAAGAUUUAUCGCCAUUGGAGCGGCCCGCGUCUGAUUAGGUAGUUGGUGAGGUAAAGGCUCACCAAGGCGACGAUCAGUAGCUGGUCUCAGAGGAUGAUCAGCCACAUUGGGACUGAGACACGGCCCAAACUCCUACGGGAGGCAGCAGUGGGGAAUCUUGCGCAAUGGGCGAAAGCCUGACGCAGCCAUGCCGCGUGAAUGAUGAAGGUCUUAGGAUUGUAAAAUUCUUUCACCGGGGACGAUAAUGACGGUACCCGGAGAAGAAGCCCCGGCUAACUUCGUGCCAGCAGCCGCCGUAACAC
rnacentral:rRNA from 1 species